rnacentral:rRNA from 1 species
GACGAACGCUGGCGGCGUGCUUAACACAUGCAAGUCGAACGAAGUUGCGAACGGGUGAGUAAUACGUGGGUAACCUGCCCUCCUUUUUGGGAUAAGCCUUGGAAACGGGGUCUAAUACCGAAUAAAGGGGGAUGGGCUCGCGGCCUAUCAGCUGGUUGGUGGGUUGAUGGCCUACCAAGGCGGGGAGGGGUAGCCGGCCUGAGAGGGUGACCGGCCACAUUGGGACUGAGAUACGCCCCAGAGUGCUACGGGAGGCAGAAGUGGGGGAUAUUGCGCAAUGGGCGAAAGCCUGCUGCAGCGACGCCGAGUGGGGGAUGAAGGCUUUAAGGUUGUUAACCUCUUUAGCUAUCGAACGGGUAGGUAGAGAAGAAGCGCCGGCUAACUACGUGCCAGCAGCCGCGGUAAUAC